rnacentral:rRNA from 1 species
ACUCCUACGGGAGGCAGCAGUGGGGAAUUUUGGACAAUGGGGGCAACCCUGACCCAGCCAUUCCGCGUGAGUGAAGAAGGCCUUCGGGUUGUAAAGCUCUUUCGGCAGGAACGAAACGGUGAGCUCUAACAUAGCUUGCUAAUGACGGUACCUGAAGAAGAAGCACCGGCUAACUACGUGCCAGCAGCCGCGGUAAUACGUAGGGUGCGAGCGUUAAUCGGAAUUACUGGGCGUAAAGCGUGCGCAGGCGGUUGUGUAAGACAGGUGUGAAAUCCCCGGGCUUAACCUGGGAACUGCGCUUGUGACUGCACAGCUAGAGUAUGGCAGAGGGGGGUGGAAUUCCACGUGUAGCAGUGAAAUGCGUAGAGAUGUGGAGGAACACCGAUGGCGAAGGCAGCCCCCUGGGCCAAUACUGACGCUCAUGCACGAAAGCGUGGGGAGCAAACAGGAUUAGAUACCCUGGUAGUCCACGCCCUAAACGAUGUCGACUAGGUGUUCGGUGAGGAGACUCAUUGAGUACCGCAGCUAACGCGUGAAGUCGACCGCCUGGGGAGUACGGUCGCAAGAUUAAAACUCAAAGGAAUUGACGGGGACCCGCACAAGC